UACGUAGGGUGCGAGCGUUAAUCGGAAUUACUGGGCGUAAAGCGUGCGCAGGCGGUUCUCCAAGUCCGUUGUGAAAGCCCCGGGCUCAACCUGGGAAUGGCAGUGGGAAACUAGGGGACUUGAAUCUGGCAGAGGGGGGUGGAAUUCCACGGUGUAGCAGUGAAAUGCGUAGAGAUGUGGAGGAACACCGAUGGCGAAGGGCAGCCCCCUGGGCUGAGAUUGACGCUCAGGCACGAAAGCGUGGGG
rnacentral:rRNA from 1 species